rnacentral:rRNA from 1 species
GGGCUAGCGUUGCUCGGAAUCACUGGGCGUAAAGGGUGCGUAGGCGGGUUUUUAAGUCAGGGGGGAAAUCCUGGAGCUCAACUCCAGAACUGCCUUUGAUACUGAAGAUCUUGAGUCCGGGAGAGGUGAGUGGAACUGCGAGUGUAGAGGUGAAAUUCGUAGAUAUUCGCAAGAACACCAGUGGCGAAGGCGGCUCACUGGCCCGGUACUGACGCUGAGGUGCGAAAGCGUGGGGAGCAAACAGG